UACACACCGCCCGUCACACCAUGGGAGUUGGCUUUACCCGAAGCCGGUGCGCGAACCGCAAGGACGCAGCCGACCACGGUCAGGUCAGCGACUGGGGUG
rnacentral:rRNA from 1 species